rnacentral:tRNA from 1 species
GGAAGGGUAGUUUAGGUUAAAAUAGCACUUUUGUAAUGUGUAGAUGUUUUAGAACUCCUUCUA